rnacentral:rRNA from 1 species
GCUCUUCCGAUCUCGGUGGAUGCCUUGGCUCUCGGAGGCGACGAAGGACGUGAUAAGCUGCGAAAAGCCCGGGGGAGGCGCAAAUAGCCCUUGAUCCCGGGAUAUCCGAAUGGGGCAACCCGGCAGGCUGAAGGCCUGCCAUCCCGUAAGGGAGGCGAACGUGGGGAACUGAAACAUCUAAGUACCCAUAGGAGGAGAAAAUAAACAAUGAUUCCGUAAGUAGUGGCGAGCGAACACGGAAGAGCCCAAACCCAUGUCGUCUAGGCGACACGGGGGUUGUAGGACCACGACGUGGCAAGAUAGAGUCAAGUGGAACGCCUUGGAAAAGGCGACCGUAGAGGGUGAUAGUCCCGUACACGACUGACGAUUGAAGCCUAGUGGCAUCCUGAGUAGCGCGGGGCACGAGAAAUCUUGCGUGAAACUGCGGGGCCCAUCCCGUAAGGCUAAAUACUCCCGAGAGACCGAUAGCGAACCAGUACCGUGAGGGAAAGGUGAAAAGAACCCCGAGCAGGGGAGUGAAAUAGACCCUGAACCCGUCUGCCUACAAGCGGUCGGAGCAUCGUCAAGAUGUGACGGCGUGCCUUUUGCAUAAUGAACCUACGAGUUACCUUCCCCGGCAAGGUUAAGUACCUAAGGUACGGAGCCGAAGCGAAAGCGAGUCUGAAGAGGGCGGCCAGUCGGGGGGGGUAGACGCGAAACCGAGUGAUCUACCCUUGGCCAGGUUGAAGGUUGGGUAACACCAACUGGAGGACCGGAUGGGUAAGCGUUGAAAAGCUUUCCAAUGAGCUGAGGGUAGGGGUGAAAGGCUAAUCAAACUCGGAGAUAGCUCGUACUCCCCGAAAUGCAUUUAGGUGCAGCCUCUUUAUAGUAUAUCGUGAGGUAGAGCGACUGAUUGGAUGCGAGGGCUUCACCGCCUAUCAAGUCCAGAUAAACUCCGAAUGCGCGAUAUAUAUUUAAAGGGAGUGAGGGCGCGGGUGCUAAGGUCCGUGUCCGAGAGGAGAAGAAUCCAGACCACCGGCUAAGGCCCCCAAAUGAUCGUUGAGUUGAACUAACGAGGUCGGAUCGCAGAGACAGCUAGGAUGUUGGCUUGGAAGCAGCCAUUCAUUUAAAGAGUGCGUAACAGCUCACUAGUCGAGCGAUCUGGCGUGGAUAAUAAUCGGGCAUAAACGAUCUGCCGAAGCCGUGGAUGUCGCAAGACAUGGUAGGGGAGCAUUCCAUGCGGCGUCGAAGAUGAGGGAUGACCCUUGUUGGAGCGCAUGGAAAAGCAAAUGUAGGUAUGAGUAACGAUAAGGGGGGCGAGAAACCCCCCCGCCGAAAGACCAAGGUUUCCUGAUCAACGCUAAUCGGAUCAGGGUGAGUCGGGACCUAAGGCUAAGCCGAACGGCGACGCCGAUGGAAGAAUGGGUUAAUAUUCCCAUACUGCCUCAUGGAGUGACGUGGAGACGGAGAAGUGACAGUCCUGCCGGCUGACGGAAUAGCCGGUUGAAGGGUGUAGAUAUUGAUUCCCGUAGGCAAAUCCGCGGGGAGAGUCGAACCUGACAGUAUACCGAGUACUUGUACGAGGUAAUAUGGACGUAACCAUGCUCCCAAGAAAAUCCGCUAAACUUAUCCAUGCGGCACCCGUACCGUAAACGGACACACGUGGUCGGGUUGAGAAUACUGAGGCGCUCGAGUGACUCACGGUUAAGGAACUAGGCAAAUUGACCCUGUAACUUCGGGAUAAAGGGUCCUCGUCGUAAGGCGAGGCGCAGAGAAUAGGUCCAGGCAACUGUUUAACAAAAACACAUGGCUGUGCUAAAUGGAAACAUGACGUAUACAGCCUGACACCUGCCCGGUGCUGGAAGGUUAAGAGGAGAUGUCAUCGCAAGAGAAGCGUUGAAUUGAAGCCCCAGUAAACGGCGGCCGUAACAAUAACGGUCCUAAGGUAGCGAAAUUCCUUGUCGGGUAAGUUCCGACCUGCACGAAUGGUGUAAUGAUCUGGACACUGUCUCAACCGUGAGCUCGGUGAAAUUGUAGUAUCGGUGAAGAUGCCGAUUACCCGCGAUGGGACGAAAAGACCCCGUGAACCUUUACUAUAGCUUAUCAUUGAAUCUGGGCACGUGAUGUGUAGGAUAGGUCGGAGGCUUUGAAGCAGGUACGCCAGUAUUUGUGGAGCCGCUGUUGAAAUACGACCCUUUAUUUGUUUGGAUUCUAACCCGUGGAUACGGGGACAUUGAUUGGUGGGUAGUUUGACUGGGGUGGUCGCCUCCAAAAGCGUAACGGAGGCUUCUAAAGGUGCCCUCA